AAUAGAUACCCGGGUAGUCCACGCCGUAAACGAUGAGUGCUAAGUGUUAGAGGGUUUCCGCCCUUUAGUGCUGCAGCUAACGCAUUAAGCACUCCGCCUGGGGGAGUACGGCCGCAAGGCUGAAACUCAAAGGAAUUGACGGGGGGCCCGCACAAGCGGUGGAGCAUGUGUUUUAAUUCGAAGCAACGCGAAGAACCUUACCAGGUCUUGACAUCCUCUGCCAACCCUAGAGAUAGGGCGUUCCCCUUCGGGGGACAGAGUGACAGGUGGUGCAUGGUUGUCGUCAGCUCGUGUCGUGAGAUGUUGGGUUAAGUCCCGCAACGAGCGCAACCCUUGAUCUUAGUUGCCAGCAUUCAGUUGGGCACUCUAAGGUAACUGCCGGUGACAAACCGGAGGAAGGUGGGGAUGACGUCAAAUCAUCAUGCCCCUUAUGACCUGGGCUACACACGUGCUACAAUGGAUGGUACAAAGAGCUGCGAACCCGCGAGGGUAAGCGAAUCUCAUAAACGCCAUUCUCAGUUCGGAUUGUAGGCUG
rnacentral:rRNA from 1 species